AAGUCGUAACAAGGUAACCGUAGGUGAACCUGCGGUUGGAUCAUUACCAAUUCUUUCUAAAUUUUCUUGUCCAGAGGAGCCUUUCGAGGUCUCUUUGGAAAGAAAAGGAAGAAACAAAAUGUGCACCUGUACUUGUACAUUGGCGGCUGUCCAGUGCUUUGUGCUGGACUUGCAUUGAAUUGCAAAGGUCGUCAAUUAAUCUGUUUUAAAAACUCCUUACUGUUUUUUUUCUAUUUUGAACUUUUAUUUUCUCUGAUAAAGAAAACCAAGAACAACUAUUAACAAUGGAUCUCUUGGCUCUC
rnacentral:misc_RNA from 1 species